rnacentral:rRNA from 1 species
GAUGAACGCUGGCGGCGUGCCUAAUACAUGCAAGUCGAGCGAACAGACGAGGAGCUUGCUCCUCUGACGUUAGCGGCGGACGGGUGAGUAACACGUGGAUAACCUACCUAUAAGACUGGGAUAACUUCGGGAAACCGGAGCUAAUACCGGAUAAUAUAUUGAACCGCAUGGUUCAAUAGUGAAAGACGGUUUUGCUGUCACUUAUAGAUGGAUCCGCGCCGCAUUAGCUAGUUGGUAAGGUAACGGCUUACCAAGGCAACGAUGGGUAGCCGACCUGAGGGGGGAUUCGGCCACACUGGACCUGAAACACGGUCCAGACCCCUACGGGAGGCAGCAGUAGGAAAUCUUCCGCAAGGGGCGAAAGCCUGACGGAGCAACGCCGCGUGAGUGAUGAGGGUCUUCGGAUCGUAAAACUCUGUUAUUGGGGAAGAACAAAUGUGUAAGUAACUAUGCACGUCUGGACGGUACCUAAUCAGAAGGCCACGGCUAACUACGU